rnacentral:rRNA from 1 species
AGUGAACGCUGGCGGUAGGCCUAACACAUGCAAGUCGAACGGCAGCACAGUAAGAGCUUGCUCUUACGGGUGGCGAGUGGUGGACGGGUGAGGAAUACAUCGGAAUCUACUUUUUCGUGGGGGAUAACGUAGGGAAACUUACGCUAAUACCGCAUACGACCUACGGGUGAAGGCAGGGGAUCUUCGGACCUUGCGCGAUUGAAUGAGCCGAUGUCGGAUUAGCUAGUUGGCGGGGUAAAGGCCCACCAAGGCGACGAUCCGUAGCUGGUCUGAGAGGAUGAUCAGCCACACUGGAACUGAGACACGGUCCAGACUCCUACGGGAGGCAGCAGUGGGGAAUAUUGGAAAAUGGGCGCAAGCCUGAUCCAGCCAUACCGCGUGGGUGAAGAAGGCCUUCGGGUUGUAAAGCCCUUUUGUUGGGAAAGAAAAGCAGCAGGUUAAUACCCCGCUGUUCUGACGGUACCCAAAGAAUAAGCACCGGCUAACUUCGUG